CAUGACCGUGCCGAUGAUGGCCGCGGCCGCCGCCACCACAACGUGCCCGGGCCGGGGCUGGAGCCCCCGGGAGGGCCAUCCCGGGGCCGUGUCCCCUUCCCCGCCGCGCUACUUCACCUUCGAGCCCCCGUUCGGACCCAGCUCCCCGCCCAGGCCCCGCCGGAGGCACCGGCGGGUUCUUUACCCACCUGCUGUCCGGCGCCCACCCCGCAUGGAAGAGCCGAACACUGCCAAGAGGCUCCUGGUGCUGCUGUUGGCCGUGGUGAGCGCCCAAGUGUACAACACCCCCGGGGAGGUGACCCCCGAAGUGGUUCCAUCCAGCCCAGGGACACCGGGAGCACCCAUUGCACCUGCUGGGACACCCAAUGGGACACUGCCGACACCCCCCGUGGGUGCUUCCUGCCCCCCAUUGCUGCUGUCACCCCGCCUGCACCCCACCAACUGCGCUGCCGCCCGGUGAGGGGCACCCAAGACUCUCACCCGGCACCCGUUGGGCUGUGCUGGAGCACAAGCUGUGCCAUAGGGGACGUUGGGGGGCCAUCGCCGUGGCCUCAGGGCUGGCCCAAGCCCCCUUAGCGUGCACUCAGAGGCCAUUUAGCACCCAUGGGUACCCCUACCUCUUCCCCUGUCGGGGCUGCCUUUAGCACCCAUGGGUGCUCCGCACUCACCUCAUCCCCACCUCUAUUUAUUGUAUUUAUGUUAAUUUAAUGGAGAUUUAUUUAAUUAGGGGGGGUUCUUUCAUGGGGUAUUUAAUAAUGAACGCUAUUUAUGAUGCUCUUGGGUCAUUGUGUGGUUGUUCCCCCAUUGGGGGGGUCCUUGUGUACCCCAACCCCUCCUUUACCCCCACUUCCGCUCUUCCCUUCCUCAACAUGGAACAAAAUGGGGUUUUCCAGCUUUUCUACCCCAAUUCCCAGGCUGAGGACGGGGUGGGGGGGGGUCACCCCAUUCCCCCCCCUUUGGAAGAUGCCUGCUGUUGGGAAUGGAGGUGACGUCCCGAGUGGAGGCAGGAAAAGGCCACGACUUGCCCCAGCUCUUGUUUAUUGAAGGACUCCAAGACAAGGCUGGGAUACAAAGUCACCAAAAGUACCAAAACCACCCCAAAACCCGCUUGAUAUUCUUAAAAAGGAAGCUGAAACCAGCUCCACCGUGCUCCCUUUUCAUGGGAACACUGGGAAAAGCCCAGGAUUGACUCUGCUCCAUGCAGGAUAUUCCAGUCUUUCCUCCCGACCACAUCCUUGGCAGUGCCAAUGACCCCAAAUUGGGCUUUUUUCCCCCCAAAAUGGCACUUGAAGAGCAGCAGCACCCCCUUUUUGGGCCCAAACCCCACCGAGAAGACACAUGACAGUGGUAAACCCCCUUCCUCCCCCCCCCUUUUCACCCC
rnacentral:lncRNA from 1 species